AGACCUCUCUCCUACCCCUGCUGAACAGGCUUCUAUUUUGUCCUUGGUCACUAAGAUUAACAACGUCAUUGACAACCUCAUCGUGGCACCUGGAAACUUUGAAGUGCAAAUUGAGGAAGUAAGGCAAGUGGGCUCGUAUAAAAAGGG